rnacentral:rRNA from 1 species
UAGGGAAUCUUCCGCAAUGGACGCAAGUCUGACGGAGCAACGCCGCGUGAGUGAAGAAGGAUUUCGGUUCGUAAAACUCUGUUGUUAGAGAAGAACAGCGCAUAGAGUAACUGUUAUGCGUGUGACGGUAUCUAACCAGAAAGCCACGGCUAACUACGUGCCAGCAGCCGCGGUAAUACGUAGGUGGCAAGCGUUGUACGGAUUUAUUGGGCGUAAAGCGAGCGCAGGCGGUCAAUUAAGUCUGAUGUGAAAGCCCCCGGCUCAACCGGGGAGGGUCAUUGGAAACUGGUUGACUUGAGUGCAGAAGAGGAGAGUGGAAUUCCAUGUGUAGCGGUGAAAUGCGUAGAUAUAUGGAGGAACACCAGUGGCGAAGGCGACUCUCUGGUCUGUAACUGACGCUGAGGCUCGAAAGCGUGGGUAGCAAACAGG